GGCUUUUCUUAAUUUUAUAUUAUUAUCAAAUCAAGUCUAAAAAUUAAAUGACCAAUAAUACAUCCAGAUAAUAAGAUAAGCAAAUGGGAUUCAAAAGGAGAGAAGAAUAAGACAUUGAUCAGGUGAUUUAUUACUAACAGUUUUUGCAGAAGUAACACCUCUCACUGUAAAGAUCUUUCCCAUCAACUUCUCAAGUUGCUUUGAGUAGAUUUAAAUUAUCUUUUAACUUCCUGUUUCUGUUGUCAUAGCCACAUUUAUUUCUGUCUGCUGGUGAUCAUGUCUUCCUCCUGCCAGCUGGCUGUCUAGUUUUUCAGUUUCUAGCAACUUUGAAACAGAAGAAAAUCUGAUAAAAGUAACUUGAUAUCAUGUGAUGUGUUGAUAUAUUAAAGGAAUCCUGUUGCUGCUUCACAAAGAUCAUGCUUCUAUUCUUCAAAACUUUUCCAACAAGAAACAAAGUUUAUAUGUAAUUUCUGAGUAUCUAUGAAUGGUUU
rnacentral:lncRNA from 1 species